GACGAACGCUGGCGGCGUGCUUAACACAUGCAAGUCGAACGAAGCUUGCCUACGGCUUCUUCGGAUGAAGCAUGAUUUGACUGAGUGGUGGACGGGUGAGUCACGCCUGAGUAACCUGCCCUUAAGCGGGGGCUAGCGUGUGGAAACGAACGGUAAUACCGCAUAAUGUAUUUUGACCGCAUGAUCGAAUUUUCAAAGAUUUAUCGCUGAAGGAUGGACUCGCGCCUGAUUAGGUAGUUGGGGGGGUAACGGCCUACCAAGCCGACGAUCCGUAGCCGGACUGGGAGGUUGAGCGGCCCGAUUGGGACUGAGACACGGCACAGACUCCUUCGGGAGGGAGGAGUGGGGAAGAUUGCACAAAGGGCGCAAGCCUGAGGCAGCAACGCCGCGUGAAGGAAGACGGUUGUCGGAAUGUAAACUUCUGUUCUUAGUGAAGAAUAAUGACGGUAGCUAAGGAGCAAGCCACGGCUAACUACGUG
rnacentral:rRNA from 1 species